rnacentral:lncRNA from 1 species
AAAGGCCUAAGGGGUGAUGCUACAACUCUUAUCAACAACUUACAUGAAAUACUAAUAAUAAUAAUAAUAUUAGUUAGGUAUUUCUAAUUAAUAAUAUAAUUAAAUUUUUAAAAUUUUAAUUAUUUAUUUUUACAUUUAAUAAUGAUUAUUAUUAUGUAAAUUAUAAUUAACAUGUAAGAAAAAAGAGCCCAAGUUCAUUUUUUUUACUGGGAAAAUAACUGCAACUCCAUAAAAGAAAAAAAAAAAAACGCUUUGUGUGCUAAUUAAACGUUAAAAAAAUCUCUUAAAAAUUACCACUAUAUAACCAUAUAGAUUAAUAAUACCUUUAUUAUAUUUAAGCAGAUAGGACCGG